UCCUACGGGAGGCAGCAGUGGGGAAUCUUGCGCAAUGGGCGGAACCCUGACGCAGCGACGCCGCGUGAGGGAUGAAGGCCUUCGGGUUGUAAACCUCUUUCGACAGGGACGAAGCGCAAGUGACGGUACCUGGAGAAGAAGCGCCGGCCAACUACGUGCCAGCAGCCGCGGUAAGACGUAGGGCGCGAGCGUUGUCCGGAUUUAUUGGGCGUAAAGAGCUCGUAGGCGGCUUGUUGCGUCGGCUGUGAAAACCCGCAGCUCAACUGUGGGCUUGCAGCCGAUACGGGCAGGCUUGAGUUCGGUAGGGGAGACUGGAAUUCCUGGUGUAGCGGUGAAAUGCGCAGAUAUCAGGAGGAACACCGGUGGCGAAGGCGGGUCUCUGGGCCGAUACUGACGCUGAGGAGCGAAAGCGUGGGGAGCGAACAGGAUUAGAUACCCUGGUAGUCCACGCUGUAAACGUUGGGCGCUAGG
rnacentral:rRNA from 1 species